rnacentral:lncRNA from 1 species
CAGUGCUCUCCUGUCGUGUGUCCACGCUUCACCUAGGCGUUCGUGGGAGGAGCCCUCAGUACCUGAGUGGGAUUGCAACCUCCUGGCCAGGUCAUGGCAGACGAGGGACAGUUGCUCUGUGACCUUGACCCACAUUCUAUUGCCAUGAAGGAAAACCCUGGAGCCUUUUAGAAACUCAUGCUCCGUUUCACACUAUUUGCUCUCCUGUUCCCCAGAACGUCCCAUGACAUCGGACAGUGACAGGGACAGCACAGGGCCCUGCCGGAGGCCUGGCGAGGCUCAGAGCACCAACGUGGGGGCUCCCUUUGCUCCAAGCACAAGUCUGCCUUCUGCCAUCACUGAUGGCCGCGGGUCCUUGUGAGGUGCUACAGUUGGAAGAACUGUUUCUCUAAAUCAUUCCACAAAUGUUCAUGGGUCCUCCCCACCUCAAACCAGUUUGCAGAGGUAAUCUGUGCUGCAUUGGUCUCCUAGGGCUGCUGUAACAAAGUUAGCACACUGAGUGGCUUAGGACAACAGAAAAUUACGUGGUCCCAGUUUGGGAGGCCGAGUGUCCAGAAUCAAGCGGUCGGCAGGGCUACAUCCUGCUGGCAGCUUUCAGGGAGAAUCUCUCCAGCAACGUCGGGCAGUUGCCGGCAGCCUUUGGCAUCCCUGUCUCCGAUUUCGGGAGGCCUGCUUACCUGUGUGUGUUUUGUGAGUCUUCUCCUCCCGUGAGGAUACCUCCCUUGACCCCUCCACUCCUCAGUGUGAACUCAUCUUAACUAAUGACUACUGCAAAGACCCUGUCCCCAAAUACAGUCUCACUCUGAGGUUCCAUGUGGACCGGGUUCUUUGAGGGACAGACACAACUCAGCCCACUGCUCAUGCCUUGGGGCAAGUGCCCCCGAAAGGCAGAGCCGGUGUCAGGCACGUUUUAUGACGUUGGGUCUGGAGAGAGGACGUGUUUCUGAAUGGGAAAGGAAGGAGGAGGAGGAAGGGCUCGCAGAGAAGCCAGAGUCCUCUUGUUGCUCCAGGGCCUGGACAUGCGAGAGUCCCUCUGGACAGCUCUGCUGGGUGCGCCCAGGAGCAAGGGUGAGGGAAUGGGUCACUUUGUAAAAUAAGGCUCCAAGAGCAACUAGGAGCAGGAGGUGGGAGGCCUGGAAGGCAGCUGGGCUGGACUCCUCCCCAUGACAUGGAGACAAGACCACCUCCCCAUCCCAGGGCUGCGCCACAGCCUGGUUCUGCUCCAGCAGAUAUCCCCUGUCCCCAGAGGGCAUCGGAGCAAGGGCAGACAGGUCACUGGUGGAAGGUAACAGGCGAUGGUGGGCAUGUGAACCAGAAGCCACUCCCUCAACCAUGGGAACUGGGCCCACCCUGAGCUCCCAGCCGGCGAUGGGGUUCCUCCCUUGACCCCUCCACCCAGACCAGCCCCCAGCCGCAGUUUCCUCCCAGCUGGGAGAGGGUGUGAAAUUACUCAACGUUUGCGUUCUGUCAGAGAGCCGAAUUAUGACUCCUCCGUUUCCAAAAGUGGUGGAUUUGGCCACAUAUUGAAUAACAAAGAUGUGAAUUUUCUUAGCCACCCAAAACCUCAUCGCUCUCAGCUUACAGCCCACAUACAGCAGAGUCAUUAACUUUCAAACCAGAAGCUUAAAUCCCAGGUGAAUCAAAAUAAAAGACGCCAGCAGAACAUGCAGGAAAACAGCCGUCGCCCAGAGAGCGCGCUUUCAGCGAGAUUGCUGUCCCUCAAAAGGCAUUUUAUCAUUCUCAGUACUUGUCCUGAUUUACCCUAUUUUUGUUAAUCAGUUGAACUUCUGAGAGGGGGGACCUCCCCUGGCUUCAGAGAAGGGAGGCAAAGAGCAUCCACUUAUGGACAGGCCAAAGCUGGGGCCUCCUGGCCUGUACUCCCGCAGCCCUGGCUCCUCCUCCCUCUGUGGAAACGACCCCGUGGACCCCUGCCCUGGACGGCUGGAAGUGGGAGGAUGCCCUGAUGCCUGCUCACCCAACAGUCAGAGGGCUGUGGCUCUGCCUGCUCUGUCCUGUGGCACCCAGUCCUGGGCCUCCUUCAGGAUGGAGCUGGGUCCUGGUGUUGAUGCUGGAGUUGCUCAUGGGACUCUGACUCGCUCAUCUACGCCUCCACUCACCUGAGGGAGAGAGGUAGGAGUCCAUUUUCACAGAAGGCCAACAUCACAGUUCCAGAACCCCCAGGCAGCACAGGCAUGGCUGUCCACCCUCAGCCCUGGAGAGUCAAUCGAGGGUGCGUUCCAUAAUGAGACAAGCCACAUCCUGCCCACUGUUCUGCACAAGAACAAGAGGCAAGGCAAACUGCCUCCGCUGUGCCCUACAGGGCACAGGCUUCGGAAGAUGGAAGCUUCUGUUUGAAAGGGUGAUGGUUUAAGAGAGGGCUUCUCCACCAGGGAGAAUCGCAGAACUACUUGGUGGACCUGGUAACUGCAGACAAGUCCCGUGUCAGACUCGAGGCAGCCCAGGGAGGGCAUGCAGAUGACUGCACGGUUGGCAGUGCACCUUGUGUCUUUUUGGAACUUUUCUAAAUACAUGUAACUAAUGCUCAUGGAAAAAACAAACAAACAAACCACUAAACAAUAAAGGGCCUGGUGGAACACAGGAGGCCGAGGCAGGGGGAUCUCAAGUUGGAAGGCAGCCUCAGCAACUCAGUGAGACCCUGACUCCAAAAAAAUAAAUAAAUAAAAAGGGCCAGGGAUGUGGCUCAGUGGUUAAGCACCCCUGGGUUCAAUUCCCAGUGCUAAAACAAAAUAAAAAAAAAGAAAAGGAAGAAUAAAGCUAUGACGCACAAAGGAGGACAUUACAUUAAAUUAUCGACAUAAAUGCUGGUGUCCACCAGACUUCUCUGUAGGAGAACACAGCAUUGGAAAGCACAGGACGUAGAACAGGAAGCCCUGCCCCAGCCCUGGAGUGGACAUUGCAGUCAUCAGGAAAGAGAUAAAUUCUCAGAAGUGCAGGAAAUUGCACAGUAUAAGACAGAUUUAUUUUUGCUGAAGACUUAUAAAAGCUUUUACAAAGGGAAUUCCAUUGGGAUAGGAGACACACCCCACUCCACCCAUGCCCAAGUUGUCACCUCUCCCCAGGUGUUUGAGCGUGAUCCUGCAGAAUAUGGAUACUUAGGAAACUUAAGAGUAUGCAGAGUGUGCCAUUUUAUCACCUGUUUUUCUCACUAAAAUACAAAUUCUGAACAUUGUCCCCUGUCAUUACAAAUUCUUCCAAUAGCUGAAUAGAGUAAGGAUUAGGAGGAGAAGAACCUGGUAAAUCAAAUUGACGAGGUCUAAAUCCCAGUUCUCAGAAUUGCUAGCAAUGUGUCCUUAGGCCCAUUCCUUGGCAUUGCUCGCCUUACUCUCUUGUCAGAAAAGACUGAUAGCGGUAUAUACCUUGCAGGGGUAUUGUGGAGAUUAAAUAAGCUGAAACUACGUGCCAUGUUC